CGGACGGGUGAGUAAUGUCUGGGAAACUGCCCGAUGGAGGGGGAUAACUACUGGAAACGGUAGCUAAUACCGCAUAACGUCGCAAGACCAAAGAGGGGGACCUCCGGGCCUCGCGCCAUCAGAUGAACCCAUAUGGGAUUAGCUAGUAGGUAAGGUAACGGCUUACCUAGGCGACGAUCCCUAGCUGGUCUGAGAGGAUGAUCAGCCACACUGGGACUGAGACACGGUCCAG
rnacentral:rRNA from 1 species